rnacentral:rRNA from 1 species
CUACGGGAGGCAGCAGUGGGGAAUUUUGGACAAUGGGCGCAAGCCUGAUCCAGCCAUGCCGCGUGCGGGAAGAAGGCCUUCGGGUUGUAAACCGCUUUUGUCAGGGAAGAAAUCCUUUGAGCCAAUACCUCGGAGGGAUGACGGUACCUGAAGAAUAAGCACCGGCUAACUACGUGCCAGCAGCCGCGGUAAUACGUAGGGUGCGAGCGUUAAUCGGAAUUACUGGGCGUAAAGCGUGCGCAGGCGGUCAUAUAAGACAGAUGUGAAAUCCCCGGGCUCAACCUGGGAACUGCAUUUGUGACUGUAUGGCUAGAGUGCGGCAGAAGGGGAUGGAAUUCCGCGUGUAGCAGUGAAAUGCGUAGAUAUGCAGAGGAACACCGAUGGCGAAGGCAAUCCCCUGGGCCUGCACUGACGCUCAUGCACGAAAGCGUGGGGAGCAAACAGGAUUAGAUACCCGUGUAC